rnacentral:rRNA from 1 species
GACGAACCGUGCGAACGUUGUUCGGAAUCACUGGGCGUAAAGAGCUCGUAGGCGGUUUGUCGCGUCGGCCGUGAAAUCUCCACGCUUAACGUGGAGCGUGCGGUCGAUACGGGCAGACUUGAGUUCGGUAGGGGAGACUGGAAUUCCUGGUGUAGCGGUGAAAUGCGCAGAUAUCUGGAGGAACACCGGUGGCGAAGGCGGCAUCCUGGACCAACACUGACACUGAGGAGCGAAAGCCAGGGGAGCAAACGGG